GCAUCCGUAAUCUAACGGCAAACUUGUUCGUUAAAGGAUUUCAGCUUCCCAAGCUGACAACGCGGGUUCGAAUCCCGCCGGAUGCA
rnacentral:tRNA from 1 species